CAGUCGCCACGGGAAUACGGAGGGAGCUAGCGUUGUUCGGAAUUACUGGGCGUAAAGCGCGCGUAGGCGGUUACUCAAGUCAGAGGUGAAAGCCCGGGGCUCAACCCCGGAACUGCCUUUGAAACUAGGUGACUAGAAUCUUGGAGAGGUCAGUGGAAUUCCGAGUGUAGAGGUGAAAUUCGUAGAUAUUCGGAAGAACACCAGUGGCGAAGGCGACUGACUGGACAAGUAUUGACGCUGAGGUGCGAAAGCGUGGGGAGCAAACAGGAUUAGAGACCCCCGUAGUCCCUGUCUCUUAUAA
rnacentral:rRNA from 1 species